ACGAACGCUGGCGGCGUGCUUAACACAUGCAAGUCGAACGGAAAGGCCCUGCUUUUGUGGGGUGCUCGAGUGGCGAACGGGUGAGUAACACGUGAGUAACCUGCCCUUGACUUUGGGAUAACUUCAGGAAACUGGGGCUAAUACCGGAUAGGAGCUCCUGCUGCAUGGUGGGGGUUGGAAAGUUUCGGCGGUUGGGGAUGGACUCGCGGCUUAUCAGCUUGUUGGUGGGGUAGUGGCUUACCAAGGCUUUGACGGGUAGCCGGCCUGAGAGGGUGACCGGCCACAUUGGGACUGAGAUACGGCCCAGACUCCUACGGGAGGCAGCAGUGGGGAAUAUUGCACAAUGGGCGGAAGCCUGAUGCAGCAACGCCGCGUGCGGGAUGACGGCCUUCGGGUUGUAAACCGCUUUCGCCUGUGACGAAGCGUAAGUGACGGUAAUGGGUAAAGAAGCACCGGCUAACUACGUG
rnacentral:rRNA from 1 species